GACAGAGGGUGCAAACGUUGUUCGGAUUUACUGGGCGUAAAGCGCGUGUAGGCGGCUUUGCAAGUCGGAUGUGAAAGCCCCACGGCUCAACCGUGGAAGUGCAUCCGAAAACUGCAUGGCUUGAGUCUCGGAGAGGGAAGGUGGAAUGCUUGGUGUAGAGGUGAAAUUCGUAGAUAUCAAGCGGAACACCGGUGGCGAAGGCGGCCUUCUGGACAGUGACUGACGCUGAGACGCGAAAGCGUGGGGAGGCAAACAGG
rnacentral:rRNA from 1 species